UAGGGAAUCUUCCACAAUGGACGCAAGUCUGAUGGAGCAACGCCGCGUGAGUGAAGAAGGUCUUCGGAUCGUAAAACUCUGUUGUUAGAGAAGAACACGAGUGAGAGUAACUGUCCAUUCGAUGACGGUAUCUAACCAGCAAGUCACGGCUAACUACGUGUCAG
rnacentral:rRNA from 1 species